GACGAACGCUGGCGGCGUGCUUAACACAUGCAAGUCGAACGAGAAGGCCCUGCUUUUGUGGGGAGCUCGACUGGCGGACUGGGAAGUAACACGUGAGUAACCUGCCAUUGACUUUGGGCUAACUUCAGGUACCUGGAGCUAAUACCGCAUAGGAGCUCCUGCUUCCUGGUGGGCGUUGGAUAGUUUCGGCGGUUGGGGAUGGACUCGCGGCUUAUCAGCAUGUUGGUGAGGUAGUGGCUUACCAAGGCAUUGACGAGUAGCCGGCCUGAGAGGUUGACCGGCUACACCGGGAUUGAGAUACGGCCCGGACCCCUCUGGGAGGCAACAGUGAGGAAUAUUGUACAAGGCACGGGAGGCAGACGUGGCAACGCCGGGUGUGGGAUGUGGGGUAGCGGGUAGAAAAGCGCUGCCGCCUGGCACGAAGUGUGAGUGACGGUAAUGGGAGAAGAAGCACCGGCUAACUACGUG
rnacentral:rRNA from 1 species